GAUGAACGCUGGCGGCGUGCCUAAUACAUGCAAGUCGAGCGAACAGACGAGGAGCUUGCUCCUCUGACGUUAGCGGCGGACGGGUGAGUAACACGUGGAUAACCUACCUAUAAGACUGGGAUAACUUCGGGAAACCGGAGCUAAUACCGGAUAAUAUAUUGAACCGCAUGGUUCAAUAGUGAAAGACGGUUUUGCUGUCACUUAUAGAUGGAUCCGCGCCGCAUUAGCUAGUUGGUAAGGUAACGGCUUACCAAGGCAACGAUGCGUAGCCGACCUGAGAGGGUGAUCGGCCACACUGGAACUGAGACACGGCCCAGACUCCUACGGGAGGCAGCAGUAGGGAAUCUUCCGCGAAGGGCGAAAGCCUGACGGAGCAACGCCGCGUGAGUGAUGAAGGUCUUCGGAUCGUAAAACUCUGUUAUUAGGGAAGAACAAAUGUGUAAGUAACUAUGCACGUCUUGACGGUACCUAAUCAGAAAGCCACGGCUAACUACGUG
rnacentral:rRNA from 1 species